GGCCCCAUGGUCAAGUGGUUAAGACACGGCCCUUUCAAGGCCGUAUCAGGGGUUCGAAUCCCCUUGGGGUCACCA
rnacentral:tRNA from 1 species